GACGAACCGUGCGAACGUUAUUCGGAAUCACUGGGCUUAAAGGGCGCGUAGGCGGGUUCUCAAGUCAGGGGUGAAAUCCCGCGGCUCAACCGUGGAAGUGCCUUUGAUACUGGGGACCUCGAGGGAGGUAGGGGCGUGCGGAACUUCCGGUGGAGCGGUGAAAUGCGUAGAAAUCGGAAGGAACACCGGUGGCGAAAGCGGCGCGCUGGACCUCUUCUGACGCUGAGGCGCGAAAGCCAGGGGAGCAAACGGG
rnacentral:rRNA from 1 species